rnacentral:rRNA from 1 species
AGAAUUGAUCUUGGUCAGAACGAACGCUGGUAGCGUGGAUUAGGCAUGCAAGUCGAACGGGAUCCGGAAGGCAGCAAUGUCGGCCGGUGAGAGUGGCGGAAGGGCGAGGAACACGUGGGCAACCUGUCUUGAGGUGGGGAAAACCUCGGGAAACUGAGGCUAAUACCGAAUGUGGCGCGGAAGGGCAUCCUUCCAGCGCUAAAGGGGCGAAAGCUCCCCUCUUCGAGGGGCUCGCGCACCAUCAGCUAGUUGGCGGGGUAACGGCCCACCAAGGCUCACGGUUAGCUGGUCUGAGAGGAUGGCCAGCCGCACUGGGACUGAGAUACUGCCCAGACUCCUACGGGAGGCUGCAGUCGAGGAUCAUUCGCAAUGGGCGAAAGCCUGACGAUGCGACGCUGCGUGGAGGAUGAAGGCCUUCGGGUUGUAAACUCCUGUCAUGAAGGGAAAAGGAGACCUUACCCAAUACGUAGGGGAUUUGAUGGUACCUCAAGAGGAAGGGACGGCUAACUCUGUGCCAGCCGCCGC